GGUAAAAUGGCUGAGUAAAGCAUUAGACUGUAAAUCUAAGUACAGGAGUAUAGCCUCCUUUUUACCA